rnacentral:rRNA from 1 species
CGGCGGGACGGGUGAAGUAACACGGUAGGGUAACCUACCUAUAAGACUGGGAUAACUUCGGGAAACCGGAGCUAAUACCGGAUAAUAUUUCGAACCGCAUGGUUCGAUAGUGAAAGGUGGUUUUGCUAUCACUUAUAGAUGGACCCGCGCCGUAUUAGCUAGUUGGUAAGGUAACGGCUUACCAAGGCGACGAUACGUAGCCGACCUGAGAGGGUGAUCGGCCACACUGGAACUGAGACACGGUCCAGACUCCUACGGGAGGCAGCAGCG